CCUACGGGUGGCAGCAGUGGGGAAUAUUGCACAAUGGGGGAAACCCUGAUGCAGCGACGCCGCGUGAGUGAAGAAGUAUCUCGGUAUGUUAAGCCCUAUCAGCAGGGAAGAAAAUGACGGUACCUGAUUAAGAAGCCCCGGCCAACUACGAGCCAGCAGCCGCGGUAAUACGGAGGGGGCACGCGGUAUCCGGAUUUACUGGGUGUAAAGGGAGCGUAGGCGGUGAUGCAAGUCAGAAGUGAAAGCCGUGGGCCCAAAUCCGAGACUGCCGUUGAAACUGGGUGUCUGGAGUGCAGGAGAGGUAAGCGGAAUGCGUGGUGUAGCGGUGAAAUGCAUAGAUAUCAGGAAGAACACCAGUGGCGAAGGCAGCUUACUGG
rnacentral:rRNA from 1 species